rnacentral:rRNA from 1 species
UAGCGGAGGAAAAGAAACCAACAGGGAUUGCCUCAGUAAUGGCGAACGAAGCGGCAACAGCCCAAAUUUGAAAUCUGGCGUAAGCCCGAGUUGUAAUUUGGAGGUAGACUAUUUGGGUGUCUGUGUCAACUAAGUGCCUUGGAAUAGGCCGCCGUAGAGGGUGAGAGCCCCGUGAGUUGACUAGCAGUUAUUCAGUUUGUCUUCCGACGAGUCGAGUUGUUUGGGAUUGCAGCUCUAAGUGGGUGGUAUAUUCCAUCUAAGGCUAAAUAAUAGCGAGAGACCGAUAGCAAACAAGUACAGUGAUGGAAAGAUGAAAAGAACUUUGAAAAGAGAGUGAAAUAGUACGUGAAAUUGUUGAAAGGGAAGGGUAUCUGAUCCGACGUGGUAUUUAGAUGUCGCCUGCCCUUGUGGCGGGUGCUCCAUUUUUUUACUGGGCCAGCGUGAGUUAGAAGGGGAUGAAAAGGCGGGAACGAAUGUAGCCUUCCUCCCUUUGGGAGAGGGGUGUUAUAACAUUCCUGUUUAGUUCCUUUCUGACUGAGGUCCGCGGUUUUUUAUUACCAAGGACGCUGGCAGAACGAGCAGAUACCGCCCGUCUUG